AAGUCGUAACAAGGUUUCCGUAGGUGAACCUGCGGAAGGAUCAUUAUCGAAUCUUUCUACGUGAGUUGUAGCUGGCCCUGUAGUGGGGCAUGUGCACGCUCCGUGAAACCAUCUCUAUACACCCCUGUGCACCUUUUGUAGGGUCGGCGCGUCAGCGUGAGCGUGCGCCUUCCUUAUGUAUAUCAUAAACUCUUACGAAUGUCUCAGAAUGUCUUUGCGUGUAACAACGUAUCUUAUACAACUUUCAGCAACGGAUCUCUUGGCUCUC
rnacentral:misc_RNA from 1 species